GGCCGACUGGUGUAGUGGUUAUCACGUCUCGUUCACAGAAGUUGGACACAACUGGGGUAUUAUCCCACCGAGAAGGUGCCAGGUUCGAUCCCUGGGUCGGUCA